CAAUUGUUUUGCCGCUAGCAGGCCCGACCAGAGAAAUCCUGCCUGGACACUGGUGGGAGUGCUCACUCUGCCUGGACACUCUCCCCAGGUUCUUUGCCUAGCUGACUCCUUUCUAUUGUGAUAGGGAUGAGGGGGAAGACUGAUGCUUCUCUUCAAUCUCCUUUGUGCCUUUGCUGUUUUGAUCUGAGAAUGCUAGGUUCCAGAUUAUUCCAUCCCAUGUUGUGUAAGCCACUGAAAUCCAAAAUGAUGGAGAAAACUAACUACUCUGGAAUACCCUCCUUUCUGCAAAGAAAAUCAUAUCCCAGGAUGAAAAGAUGGGUGAGGAAGAAAAACUAACAUACGAAGAAGCUCUCUGGCAUUCUCUAACAGACAGCCCAGGAAGUACAGAAGUAACCUGGUCCUUAACCAGCACCACGACUGUGUCAAAAUCCUCAAAGCGAAGGAAGUGGCAAGCUUCCGCUUCUGGAAUGAGAUGAGGCCAUUCGGUGUCCUGGCACUUACAGCCAGAUGCCCGGCGGCCCCUUUGACAGGCAGAGAGGCAGCUUCCCAUCUGAUGUUUGUCUUCUCAUUCUGUGUUUGAGGCUUGUUGUAGUGAUGUUAUGCCUCCAUUGUUUGACUGUGUUCACUUACAAAAUGAGAUUAAUAAAAGCAAUGCAGUCAC